rnacentral:rRNA from 1 species
AUUGAACGCUGGCGGCAUGCCUUACACAUGCAAGUCGAACGGUAACGCGGGGCAACCUGGCGACGAGUGGCGAACGGGUGAGUAAUGCAUCGAAACGUGCCCAGUUGUGGGGGAUAACUGCUCGAAAGAGCAGCUAAUACCGCAUACGACCUGGGGGUGAAAGCGGGGGAUCGCAAGACCUCGCGCAAUUGGAGCGGCCGAUGUCGGAUUAGCUAGUUGGUGGGGUAAAGGCCCACCAAGGCGACGAUCCGUAGCUGGUCUGAGAGGACGACCAGCCACACUGGGACUGAGACACGGCCCAGACUCCUACGGGAGGCAGCAGUGGGGAAUUUUGGACAAUGGACGCAAGUCUGAUCCAGCCAUGCCGCGUGCGGGAAGAAGGCCUUCGGGUUGUAAACCGCUUUUGUCAGGGAAGAAAUCUUCUGGGUUAAUACCUCGGGAGGAUGACGGUACCUGAAGAAUAAGCACCGGCUAACUACGUGCCAGCAGCAGCCGCCGUAA